rnacentral:rRNA from 1 species
AAACGGGGUCUAAUACCGGAUAAUACUCUUCCCUGCAUGGGGGAGGGUUGAAAGCUCCGGCGGUGCAGGAUGAGCCCGCGGCCUAUCAGCUUGUUGGUGGGGUGAUGGCCUACCAAGGCGACGACGGGUAGCCGGCCUGAGAGGGCGACCGGCCACACUGGGACUGAGACACGGCCCAGACUCCUACGGGAGGCAGCAGUGGGGAAUAUUGCACAAUGGGCGAAAGCCUGAUGCAGCGACGCCGCGUGAGGGAUGACGGCCUUCGGGUUGUAAACCUCUUUCAGCAGGGAAGAAGCGAGAGUGACGGUACCUGCAGAAGAAGCGCCGGCUAACUACGUGCCAGCAGCCGCGGUAAUACGUAGGGCGCAAGCGUUGUCCGGAAUUAUUGGGCGUAAAGAGCUCGUAGGCGGCUUGUCACGUCGGUUGUGAAAGCCCGGGGCUUAACCCCGGGUCUGCAGUCGAUACGGGCAGGCUAGAGUGUGGUAGGGGAGAUCGGAAUUCCUGGUGUAGCGGUGAAAUGCGCAGAUAUCAGGAGGAACACCGGUGGCGAAGGCGGAUCUCUGGGCCAUUACUGACGCUGAGGAGCGAAAGCGUGGGGAGCGAACAGGAUUAGAUACCCUGGUAGUCCACGCCGUAAACGUUGGGAACUAGGUGUUGGCGACAUUCCACGUCGUCGGUGCCGCAGCUAACGCAUUAAGUUCCCCGCCU